AUGACAAAAAAAGCAACAGUAAAAGCAGUGAUUAUGUUUUUCAUAGUUCAUUUGCCGUCUUUGCCCUGCAGACCUUCUGUGGAGGAAAAUGAGAUCCCGAGUGAAGUCUACAAUGUCAUUGACUCUGAAGAAGGACUCAGAGACCCAUUGGUGUUUAAUGACCCUUACUGGCCUAUGCAAUGGGAACUGGUCCUUCUCCUUCACAACUUCCAGGGAAAAUUUUAAUGUUCCUUGACCAUUGAUGGCUUCUGCGUUUCAGCAAUGCUACUUUAUAAAAAAAAAUUGCUUUCUAUUUUUUUCUUUAUGUCUAUGAGAUUUUUUAAGGAAAGCAUAGACUCAAAUCAUUAUUGAAAUGGGACAUUGUUCCUUUAAGGUUUAAUGGUGAGAAAGAAGAUAAACAUAUCUAAUUUCCUUAUUAGGAAUGGGCUGGCUUGAUAGGAUUUUUAUCACUGGAGGCCUCUGACUUCUGUUCAUGCCAAAAGAAUGCCAGACUGCUGGGUUAGUGGAAGGAAUGAGAUACUAUCCAGGGAAGUAAACAUGCAUUAAAAAAGAUAGUCUGUAUACUACAUACAUACUUUCUCAGUUUUUUGUAUAGCAGGUUUAGUAGUUGAAUUACCCUAGAAUUGUGAUGUUAUAAUGUCUUUGCUCUCUUACAUAUUAAAGGUUUAUUGAUAUAUUCCAAAGAAGCUCAUCUUUGUCAUCCAAGAAGAAACAAAUAAUGUUAUAAUUAAUUUAAUAGAUGACUUUCUUAACUGGUUACCUUAUAGUUCCUCACCUAUGUGUGGGUAGUUUGCAUUGCUACUGGCUGGCAGCCACUCCUGAAGGAGACAAGAAGGAAGUUGCGCUGGCAGCCAAAUAAAUUUGUCCUGUGUGUCCUGUCCA
rnacentral:lncRNA from 12 species